rnacentral:rRNA from 1 species
GGUAAACCUUGGCGGCGUGCCUAAUACAUGCAAGUUGAGCGCUGAAGGUUGGUACUUGUACCCACUGGAUGAGCAGCGAACGGGUGAGUAACGCGUGGGGAAUCUGCCUUUGAGCGGGGGACAACAUUUGGAAACGAAUGCUAAUACCGCAUAAAAACUUUAAACACAAGUUUUAAGUUUGAAAGAUGCAAUUGCAUCACUCAAAGAUGAUCCCGCGUUGUAUUAGCUAGUUGGUGAGGUAAAGGCUCACCAAGGCGAUGAUACAUAGCCGACCUGAGAGGGUGAUCGGCCACAUUGGGACUGAGACACGGCCCAAACUCCUACGGGAGGCAGCAGUAGGGAAUCUUCGGCAAUGGACGAAAGUCUGACCGAGCAACGCC